rnacentral:lncRNA from 1 species
GGAGAAGACACCAUGCCCAUAAAUUUGGAAAUUUCAUAAUAUUUCCAGUACAGUGCCAGUAUUGAUGGGACAGAGAUGUCAGACUACAUGAACACUAUGUAACAUAUCUGAGGCACAUCCUCACAGCCCGACAUGGAUCCACCAGCAAGAUACAGGACUAAUGGUCUGGGUUGAAGAUCAGACAACUUGAGCUUGCAUCUUGUCAGCAUUAUAGAACCAUGGAAUGGAACUUUCAAAUAUACCCCGAACCUCUGUAGAUCCAAUGGUAUUAAAAAUAACUUUCCAACUUUUUAUUCAUAAAUUUGGAAUAAGAAAAGACCUCUAAUUGGCAAUAAAACAGGAUGCACACCAGUUGAUCGAAAAUCCACACGUCAAUGUUGUUAGGUGGUUGAUGAUUGUGUAUUCAAUAAUGAAUUGAAGUCAUCUAAGUUUUGUUCAUGAAUGAUGUUAAAAGUUUUGUCCAUUCACAUUGUAAAGAAAUAUGACUUAAGUAGAAUUAAAUUUCUUCUUAUUGUUCAAAUGCAAGUCAUUGGAGCUUGUACAUUACAGCAUUCUUGAAUUCAAUCUUGCUCAAACAGGAAUAACAAAAGGCUGCACAUUCCUCUUCAUAGAAUAAAAUGAAACUGUCACAUAUAAUUAGUCCCAACUUCUUUAUUUAGAUAUUUCAAGAGUCAAAAGUAUGUAAGAAUGUUCCAUCAUUUGGGUUUUUUGUUGAUGUAGAUAUCCACGAAAGCGAUGUUGUCUUUAUUAUUUCAGUGUCAAAAGUAUAUAAAUUAAUGUUCCAUCACAUUGUCAGUUAAUUGAUGCAGAUAUCCAUUGAAAGCAAUGUCUUCUUUUUUGUUUCAGAAUCAAGUGUCCAAUAUUUUUCUCGACAACAUGGAAUGCAAAUCUGAAUAAAUGCCUCAAAUUAAAACUGCCAAAGAUGGCUUACUAUAAUAAAACUA